AAAUUGAAGAGUUUGAUCAUGGCUCAGAUUGAACGCUGGCGGCAGGCCUAACACAUGCAAGUCGAACGGUAACAGGAAGCAGCUUGCUGCUUUGCUGACGAGUGGCGGACGGGUGAGUAAUGUCUGGGAAACUGCCUGAUGGAGGGGGAUAACUACUGGAAACGGUGGCUAAUACC
rnacentral:rRNA from 13 species